rnacentral:rRNA from 1 species
UACGAGGGGGGCAAAUGUUGUUCGGAAUCACUGGGCGUAAAGGGAGCGUAGGCGGGUUCUUAAGUAAGGUGUUUAAUCCCGGGGCCCAACCCCGGACCGGCACUUUAAACUGGGAAUCUUGAAUAGUGGAGAGGUCAGUGGAAUUGGGGGUGUAGCGGCGGAAUGCGUAGAGAUCCCCAAGAACACCAGUUGCGAAGGCGGCUGACUGGACACAUAUUGACGCUGAGGCUCGAAAGCAUGGGGAGCAAACAGG